GGAAUAUAUGAACAAGGAAAGCCAAAUUGCAGCAAGUGAAAAGAUAGAUGCUGAUGAAAAUUUAACUGGUGUGUUGUCAACACAGUCACUAAAGGAACUGCAGCAUGAUAGCUCUACCACAUUGAAUUCUGGUCACCACAAGGAUUCACCACCUCCUGUGGUUGGUAACCCUGGCUUCAC